CGAGCUCGCGCCGCCCAGGAACUGUGCUUGGAGCGCAAUGGAAAGGACUUCCACUUGGUUUUUGAUUUUGUCCUUUUUCUCCCAGGCUUCAGGUCCAGACCAGACCUAAGGUUUCCUGAAGUCUUGGAGAGGCAGCAUCCCUCCAGCCCAUGGACCACUUGGCCAUGACUAAUCAAGUGAUCACCCCAGCCAAUACAGAGAAGCAUCCCUGUCUCCUGCCUUCAGCAGUGCGUGUUCUUGUCUUGCCCUCUGGACAAAUGGAACCUGCUGCUCCCAAAGAAGACAAGUGGAAAUCUGAGUGCAGCUUGGAUCCCAGCCAGGCUGCUGCACCCAAGCACAUCGCAGAACCCCAGCAUCAUCAAAAGCUCAAGCCCAGUCAUCAUGACAGCCCUAGGCAGUUCCUGCUGAAGAAGGCCCGAUAGACGAGAAGUCAUCGAUACAGUGUAUGCCAGCCGACCGGAUCUGACUGACCAGCCUCUGCCAGACCCAGAGUGGGAACUAUUCACAGAUGGCAGCAGCUUCAUGGACCAAGGCCGAUGAUGUGCAGGAUACACAGUGGUGACACUCCAGGACACCAUAGAAGCCAAGGCUCUUCCAGCAGGCACAUCAGCACAGAAAGCUGAAUUGAUAGCCUUGACCCAUGCCUUGGGACUGUCUGGAAGGUAAAUGAGUCAAUAUAUUUACUGAUUCAAAGUAUUCCUUCAUGAUUCUCCACAUGCAUGGGGCUAUUUGGAAGGAGCGAGGACUCCUUACUGCCAGUAACAAAGAUGUUAAGCACCCAUUGGAAAUCCUGGCCUUGCUGAAGGCAGUAGCUUUACCAUCAACGGUAGCCGUGUUGCAUUGUCCCGACCAGCAGAAGGGUGGGUCUGACACAGCUAAGGGCAACAGGGAAGCUGACUGGUUGGCAAAAGCUGCUGCUCGCUCUGCUCUCCAGGGUGCACUUAUCCCUCUUGUGGACCUAACUCAAUAUGCUCCUGAAUACACAGAGUAAGAUGAGAAGAGAGCUCGUGAAUGGGGAUUUACUGAGUUUGACCCCAGCUCCACUUGGAGAGUAAACUCCCAUGGGAUGAUACUCCUCCCAGAGGCUCUAGUAUAUCCAGUACUGAAACAUCUGCAUGAAGGAUCCCACUAUGGGAGAGACACUUUAUUAGAGACAGUGCGUUCAUAUUUGAAGGGCCCAUAUUUACACAAGACAGCACAACGGAUCACUCGAGGUUGUCAAAUAUGUGCCCGAAAUAACCCAAAGACUAACUUGCACUCUAAAGCUACUGGGGUUCAAUAUCGGGGCAAGUGCCCUUUUGAGGACUGGCAGGUGGAUUUUACAAAUGCCUAGAACCACCGGCAAUUUCAAAUACUUAAUGGUUUUCGUAGAUACCUUCUCAGGAUGGGUAGAAGCAUUCCCCACUAGGACCGAGAAAGCUUUGGUCUAUUAAAAGAGAUAAUCCCUCGCUUUGGUUUACCUGACUCUAUCCAGAGUGAUAAUGGGCCUGCAUUUGUCUCUAAAAUUACUCAUACAGUAAGCAGUGCUUUACAGAUUAACUGGCAAUUGCAUGCUGCAUGGAGACCACAAUCUUCCGGACAAACUGAAAAAAUGAACCACACUUUAAAGAAGACCUUGGUGAAACUGUGCCAGGAAACACAACUGCGUUGGGACCAGGUAUUAUCCCUUGCCCUUCUCCGGAUAAGAGUGGCACCUAGAAUGGGCUACAAUUAAGCCCCUUUGAAAUUGUGUUUGGAAGACCCUUUCAGGCCUCAGUUCUAAAGGCCACUCCAGAUAUAGAACAGGAUUGUAGGGUCACACAAUAUGUGAAACACAUCCAGGAGGUAUUGGCAAUAAUGCACAAUUUUGCAAUAUCAAGGACCUCUGUGCCUCCUGAUGAACCACUACAUCCUUUCAAACCUGGAGAUCAGGUCUUACUCAAGAGUUGGCAGAGCGGAGAUGCCCAAAACCAACUGUCAGAGAAAUGGACUGGUCCACACGAUGUUUUAAUGAGCACACAUACUUUGAAACUUGCGGGCAUAAAACCCUGGGUACAUCAUUCCAGAGUUAGGAAAGCCCCAGAUGGAACUGACAUACAGAGGAAACCCACCUGGUCUUGCGAACCUAUUGAAGACCUCAAAUAUUUAUUUAAGAAAAAGUAAAAAACUUAAAUGGAACUAACUUUUCUUUUCUAGCUAUGUGGCAUUGUACUUCAAAAUACACUUUCUGUAGGAACCCUGAGAUGAUGAACAUGCUCUAACCAUUUUUUUUUUCCUUUGGGAACAUUUAGGAAUAUAACAAUAACCAUGCAAUUUCGCUAGCAGUAUUUUUUUUUAAUUUGCUUUUACUACACAA